GGCGGUGUAGCUCAGCUGGCUAGAGCGUACGGUUCAUACCCGUGAGGUCGGGGGUUCGAUCCCCGUGAGGUCGGGGGUUCGAUCCCCCCUCCGCCGCUA
rnacentral:tRNA from 1 species